GUUGGCUACCAUGGCUCAAGAUGGAGGACCACGUGGGCAUGUGAUUAACAUGGACUGGCAGGAACAAGAAAUAGUUAUGGAAGAGCAGCUGGAAAGAGGAAGAGAAGAACAAAGAAAAAGGGAGGAGGAAACGAAAAGAGAGGAACAAAGAAGGGGAGAAGAUCAUUUUUCCGACACAUACCUAUACUUAAGUUAUCCCUUUUAAAAUUUUAAACCUAUAUACCUGUGUCACACAGUAAUUCCUCUUUUUUUCGAAUAUGUGAAAUCAUAAUCUCUUGGAAAACUACCCUAUCAGGGAUAUAAAUUUAAAGUAUAUUGAUUCUUUUUUUAUUUUUAAGUGAGCUUAAUGAUAUCGUUUAUAAUAGGACAGCCAUAUUAGUACGUCAAUGUCAUCGGAAGACAUUAAAUAUUUGGAAGAGAAACUUAAAA